AUCAGCAGUGGCUCCAUCGGCAGAGUAACCUGUGGAUGUUAAAACUCCAUGUUAUCAUUUGCAAUGCGAUAAUGCGUGGCAGAUUCAGGCUCACAGGGUGUGGGGGAACCGGUGAAAUUAACCUAACCUGAGUGCGUGAAUGUGUCCCAGAUGCUGGGUUUUCUUCCGUCCUCUGCAACCGCACCUUCAAUCUGGAACCAGCCAAAUAUUCAGACCGGCCGCGUCACGGGUGACAGAAAAUGUCGUCAAGAAAAAGGCGAAGGAGCAGGUGAAGGAAAAGGGAGGAAAACAACACCAGGAAAGGGGAAAACGCACACGGUGUCAUGUUGCUCUUGACUGAGAUGAAUGUGUUGGUACCUGCUGGAUUCGAGGGUCGCCUCGAUGUAGUCCUGCAGGUACUGCGACCUGAACUCGUCGUCGGGGGCGUUCCCAGCAGAAGGAUCCGCAAUGCUAGCAGCUCCUGGUAAAUAUGAACAUUCAAGACAUGAUAUUUCAGGUUGACGAUUCCUUGGGAUCAUGAUGUUUUAUGGUCGCUGAAAGUUCUGCUUGAGUAGAAUUUACCGUUCUCAUGGAUCAUGACUACAGGGUUCUUGUAUUUGAGCUGGAGAUGCUCCAGCAUUUUCUUCAGAGACCACGGUGUCGACGACAUAAAAUCCAUUUUCAACCCAAACAGGAGCUGUUACGUUUAAUUUUAGCCACACAGACAUACAAAUGAUUUAGUUUAUUGGGAACAAAGUUCAUUUCCCAACUAAAUUGAUUAGAGAUUAAAUUAGUUGUAUCAUCAAAUACCUGGUUGUUCAAGUUCAAGAAUGGCACUGCAAGAAUACAUUUGCAGAAGAGUUAGGUUAAUCCAUUUCUCUCAUUGCAUUGUGGCACAUAGUAUAACA